CCCUUAGAUGUUCUGGGCCGCACGCGCGCUACACUGACGAUGGCAACGAGUUUUUCCUUCGCCGAAAGGUGUGGGUAAUCUUUUGAAACAUCGUCGUGCUGGGGAUAGAUCAUUGCAAUUUUUGAUCUUGAACGAGGAAUUCCUAGUAAGCGCGAGUCAUCAGCUCGCGUUGAUUACGUCCCUGCCCUUUGUACACACCGCCCGUCGCUCCUACCGAUUGAAUGUGUUGGUGAGGAGCUCGGAUUGGCAGCAGUUGGUGGUUCGCCACCGGCUAUUGCUGAGAAGUCCUCCAAACCGCCCCAUUUAGAGGAAGGAGAAGUCGUAACA
rnacentral:rRNA from 1 species